AUUGGCAUGUCUUCUUUUAGUUUUUUUUCCUUUUAAUGGUGGUAUUAGUACCAUGUUGUGCUCAUUCCAUUAGGGGAAGGAAGAAUAAAAAAAGAUAUGCCAUUUUGGUCAAUAAAUAUGCUCUUUAUCAUAUCCUUGAAUAUCUUUUGUCUCAAUAUUUCUCUGUCUUUAAUUCUAUAUCAAUCCUUGAAUAUUUAUAUAACAUACAAUAUAUAACAUUCAACACAAUAUACUAAUGACAAUAUUCUUUUAUCAAUAUAUACUACUU
rnacentral:lncRNA from 1 species